rnacentral:misc_RNA from 1 species
GAAAUGCGAUAAGUAAUGUGAAUUGCAGAAUUCAGUGAAUCAUCGAAUCUUUGAACGCACCUUGCGCUCCUUGGUAUUCCGAGGAGCAUGCCUGUUUGAGUGUCAUGAAAUCUUCAAUCUACAAACUUCUUAUGGGGUUUGUAGGCUUGGACUUGGAGGCUUGUCGGUCCCUUUACAGGUCGGCUCCUCUUAAAUGCAUUAGCUUGGUUCCUUGCGGAUCGGCUUGUCGGUGUGAUAAUGUCUACGCCGCGACCGUGAAGCGUGUUUGGGCGAGCUUCUAACCGUCUCGUUACAGAGACAACUUUUAUGACCUCUGACCUCAAAUCAGGUAGGACUACCCGCUGAACUUAA